rnacentral:piRNA from 1 species
UACAGCUGCGGUUUGUCUCAUGGU